UACGUAGGGUGCAAGCGUUAAUCGGAAUUACUGGGCGUAAAGCGUGCGCAGGCGGUUUUGUAAGUCCGAUGUGAAAUCCCCGGGCUUAACCUGGGAACUGCAUUGGUGACUGCAAGGCUUGAGUGUGUCAGAGGGAGGUGGAAUUCCGCGUGUAGCAGUGAAAUGCGUAGAUAUGCGGAGGAACACCGAUGGCGAAGGCAGCCUCCUGGGAUAACACUGACGCUCAUGCACGAAAGCGUGGGGAGCAAACAGG
rnacentral:rRNA from 1 species